UUGAACGCUGGCGGCAGGCCUAACACCUGCAAGUCGAACGGUAACAGGAAGAAGCUUGCUUCUUUGCUGACGAGUGGCGGACGGGUGAGUAAUGUCUGGGAAACUGCCUGAUGGAGGGGGAUAACUACUGGAAACGGUAGCUAAUACCGCAUAACGUCGCAAAACCAAAGAGGGGGACCUUCGGGCCUCUUGCCAUCGGAUGUGCCCAGAUGGGAUUAGCUAGUAGGUGGGGUAACGGCUCACCUAGGCGACGAUCCCUAGCUGGUCUGAGAGGAUGACCAGCCACACUGGAACUGAGACACGGUCCAGACUCCUACGGGAGGCAGCAGUGGGGAAUAUUGCACAAUGGGCGCAAGCCUGAUGCAGCCAUGCCGCGUGUAUGAAGAAGGCCUUCGGGUUGUAAAGUACUUUCAGCGGGGAGGAAGGGAGUAAAGUUAAUACCUUUGCUCAUUGACGUUACCCGCAGAAGAAGCACCGGCUAACUCCGUG
rnacentral:rRNA from 1 species